UGUUCCUCAACUUGUGGAUGAUUCGUCCAAGUGGCUCACGUUUAUGGUUGUUGGCAUGAGGAACUUCCCCCACUUCCGGAGCCAUCCAGUUGACUUAAAUAUUCAAUAUGAUACAUGAAGUUGCAUAUAUGGGAAAUAAAACUUGUGCAACUGAAUUCAACCAUGGAAAGCAAGCGUGAAUUACACAACAAUAAAUACAAUUCUUUUUCGGCAAUCAGAGGUUCUUGUAGACACCCUUGGAAAUAAAUUUCUUUAAGUGUUUCCUAUUUCUCCAAUGUCAUCAAAUGUUCAGUAGCAGUGCUCUUGGAGGGCAAUUAGUGUAGUGAAGCUCCUUUCAAUUCACUGGCUAAUGUUUCAUCUCCAUUUUCAACCGUAUUUAAUGACAAAAUUUUACGUUUUCUUCAAACUCGAUAGAAAGUUUUUUUAGUUCCGCUUGCAUAAACUUCAUCAUAAUUUUUUAGGACAAAAACCAAUUUAUAAGCCUAAACUUUGAGGUUGUAUCAAUUAAAACUUCAAAUUAAUAAUGGUAUCAAUUUAAACUCUAAACUUUCCUGUGUAAAUCAAUCUAGACCCUCCGUUAGUGAAUGAUAACUAUUUCCACUAGCAUUUAAAAUGAACUUCGAAAUCACCUAAUAAAAUUAUUUUCUCCCAAAAUUCUACCAAAUUAACAAAAAAAAAAAAAAAAAAAAGACGUGAUUUUUCUUGAGUAAGUCAAGAAAAAUAGAGGAAGGGGAGAAAAUAAAAAAUUACUCAUGCUAAUGAAAACUACUAUUAUUCAUUUAAUUGCAACUUACUUUUCUAAUACUACUUUAACUCGGGCAUUUAAAGAAGUCACUUAUGCACGUGUUAAAAUGGUUUUAAAAUGGAAUCCUAACCCGGUCUAAAUUAACUUACUAAUGAAAGGCUAGGAUUUGAUUGAUACAAUUACUAGUUUAGGGUUUAAAGUGAUACAGCCCCAACACUUUAGGGGUAUGAAUUGAUUUUUACCACUAAUUUUUUCCAUUUAUUUCUUUUUCUUCUUUUGAAAGAUUACCAUAGAGUGGGUUCACUUUAGAUAAAACUAACUAGAAGAUGAUGCUUUUGAAUAUUUAUCUAGUCGAUCUUACCUCUGCAUUCUUCUUUCCUAUCUCAUAAGAACAUUUGGCAGGUUACGAUUUUGAGGGGAGAAAGGCAGUCUACAUCUUUCCUAGGGAGUGAUACUUAUUGCAAAAUCGAUGUAAAUAAUAUUCUGCUGAGCAGGGAAACAAUUCCAUGUCCCCUUCCACAAAGAUAGGUCAUGUGACAGUGCAGGGAUAUCAAUCUACAAUGCUUUCCUGCAUUGCUUGAAUAUUGGACUAUUCUCCACGUUUGUGUUAACCGAUAGGUCAACAUCGAAAAUUUGGAUUUUAUUUUGUUCAGUAGUUUGAGACAAAGAAUGCAGGGAAAUAAUUCUACCUAAUGAAGAUGAGCUUAACUACAAAGCUUGAUGUAUAGACAUGUUUGUCAAAUUUUUUAAAACCUCCACGUAAUGCAGGAGAGAAAAUGAAGCAGACAAGUGAAAAAUGCGAAGUAGAAUCAGAAAAUUUAAAGAGAGGAGAUUUGUUUUCUUUUCAUAGCCUUGAAUUGGUAUAAAGCCAGACGUUCUUUCUACAAGGAGCCCCUAGUAUGGAAUGUCAAGUGCAAGGAUAUUUUGUCACAAAAAUAAGGUGCGGGGAAGGAAAUGGAGAAUCUACAAAAUUCUAGAUUGACCCUAAGCUAAGAAAUCUUACACUUCGCAGUUUCUUCCCCAAAUCAUAGGUCCACAAUAGAGGGGCGACCCUUCCUUGAGUUACUUAACAGAAGAACUUCCCCAAUAAUCAGGUACUCAAUGAUUAUACAAAGCCAACGAGAAAGAUCAAUAGUUGGGGAGUAUUUGCUACAAUCAUGUGGGGAAGUAAUAGCAACAAAUUUAGAAAGCGAGCCCACGUGGAAUCGGUAAAACAAACCCCUUCCGAGUGAGCAUUUACUCAAUAUCGUUCAGAAGGGGUUUGCUUUACGGAUUGCACCUGGCUUGCUUUCUAACAUUUGUUGCAAAUACUCCCCGACCAUCAAUAUUGUAGUUGGAACCAUGAGCUACUAGGAGGUUUCUGGAGGGCGUUUUAUAUUCCCUCUGUAUUAUACCGCAUUUUACAUGGAGGAAUUGCAAUGACUUCAAUCUUAGAAACAGCACAGAAAAUUUCAUGAAUCCAGAAGCAGAGUUUACCAUAUCAACAUUCAAAGAUGGAAAUGAAACAGUUUCUCUUAUUCUUGUAUCCUAUGGUUUAACUGGAUAAAGUGAUGUUUUGCACCAUUUGAA